AUGGAAUGGAAUGGAAUGGAUUGGAAUGGAAUGCAAUGGAAUGGAAUGGAAUGGAAUGGAAUCAUUCCGAGUGGAAUGGAAGUGAAUGUAAUCGAGUGGAAUGGAAAGGAAUGGAAUCAACACCAGCGCAAUGGAAUGGAAUGGAAUGGAAUGGAAUGGAAUGGAAUGGAAUGGAAUUGAAUGGAAUGGAAUGGAAUGGAAUGGAAUGGAAUGGAAUGGAAUGGUACGGAAUAGAAUGGAAUGGAACGAAAUGGAAUGGAAUGGAAUGGAAUGGAAUGGAAUCAUUCCGAGUGGAAUGGAAGGGAAUGUAAUCGAGUGGAAUGGAAAUGGAAUCAACAGGAGUGGAAUGGAAUGGAAACGAAUGGAAUGGAAUGGAAUGGAAUGGAAUGGAAUGGAAUGGAAUCAACCCGAGAGCAAUGGAAUGGAAUGGAAUGGAAUCGAAUGGAAUGGAAUCAACCUGAAUGGAAUAGAGUGGAAUGGAAUCAACCCGAGUGGAAUGGCAUAGAAUGGAAUGGAAUGGAAAGGAGUGGAAUGGUACGGAAUAGAAUGGAAUGGAACGAAAUGGAAUGGAAUGGAUUCAACCCAAUUGGAAUGAUAUGGUAUGGAAUGGAAUGGAAUUGUGUGGAAUGGAAUGGAAUGGAAUGGAGUGUAAAGGAAUUGAAUAGAA
rnacentral:lncRNA from 1 species